rnacentral:rRNA from 1 species
UACGGAGGGUGCGAGCGUUGUUCGGAUUUACUGGGCGUAAAGGGUGCGUAGGUGGUUUUUUGCGUGAAGGGUGAAAGCCCGGAGCUUAACUCCGGAAUUGCUUUUCAAACGGGGAAACUAGAGAGGGUUAGAGGCAAGUGGAAUUCCUGGUGUAGAGGUGAAAUUCGUAGAUAUCAGGAGGAACAUCUGAGGCGAAAGCAGCUUGCUGGGGCUUUUCUGACACUGAGGCACGAAAGCGUGGGUAGCAAACGGG